UCUCUCUCUCUCUCUCUCUCUCCUGCAUGCAGCGCUGCUGCUCCUCCGACUCCGACGAAGAUCUCUUCCUCCUCCUCUGUUACGCCAGACCUACUUCACAUCUCUCUUCUUCCAAAGCAGUUUGCAGCCAUGCCGAGGUCCAAGGUUCAGAAGGCAGAUGACGACGACAUGGAUCCAACACAAUACUUCGAAAAUAGGGUGAAAACCCUUGGAGCUCUGAAGAGUUUGGAAUUAAUCCCUAUCCUCACAAAUUCCAUGUUUCAAUGUCCAUCCCUGAAUAUAUAGAGUACUAUAAAGGCCUAACUAAUGAGGAGUCUUGACGACGUUGAAGUAUCUUUGGCUGGGAGAAUCAUGAACAAGUGAUCUUGUUCAGCAAACUUGUUCUUUUAUGAUUUACAUGGUAAUGGUGCCAAAGUCCAAGUUAUGGCCAGAGUCCAAGAUAUGACCAAUGCAAGUUAUUUAAUCCUUAUAAUUGAUUGUGAUAAAAGAAAUUCUGGGCUAAGUUUGUUUGGAGCAGACACGCUUGAGUCCUGACUAAAUUGAGCUUAUAUACUCUGGCCCGAUAAUGUAAAGUUCGAUUUAUGCCCUCUCAACCUCGUACCCUACUUGUUUGCGAGGAUUGGCCAUGACUGCAUUUGUCUGAUCCGAGUCAGGCAUCCAUGUUUACAUGCUUAAAUGCAGUGGAUGACAAUCAAUUGGAUAUGCACGCCAUUUUGAAUCUUUUGAUGAGUUGUCCUAAUUCUACUGGGUUUUAUCUGGGUUUCAGAAUUGGAUAAAGCUGAAUUUUCCAAGCUCCACUCAGGUGUGAAGCGUGGAGAUGUUGUUGGUGUUAUUGGGUAUCCAGAACGAGGCUUGGAGUGGAGCCCCAACUGUAACAUUUCUCCAAAGCCGUCAGGCUAAGUUGUUCCGACAGUUGCCCAAGAGAUCCAAAUUCAAGUUUAUUAGAUGAAAUGCAGAACUCUUCAUCAUUGGAGUUUAAU